UGUCGGCACUAGCGCGGUGGUCCCACCUGACCCCAUGCCGAACUCAGAAGUGAAACGCCGUAGCGCCGAUGGUAGUGUGGGGUCUCCCCAUGCGAGAGUAGGGAACUGCCAGGC
rnacentral:rRNA from 1 species